rnacentral:rRNA from 1 species
AUGAAACUCUUAUCAUAGAACUGUCGGGGGCUCGGGAAUGAACCGGCAGUUCGAGCUUUGCUGGACGUCCAGCGAAGUACCCAUCCCGAUGUGAUGUUCUUGUCGGAGACACACCUCGAUAGCUAUCCGGCUGAAUGUUUGAGACGACGGUUAAAGAUGGAUCAGAAAAUGGUAUGUACUAGUAAUGGGAGAAGUGGAGGAUUGAUAUUGCUUUGGAAUAAUGAGGUUAGGGUCCAGCGUCUUGGUUUGGAUCCAAUGUUCAUUGAUGUCCAGAUUACAAGUGAUGGUGAUGCAACAUGGCGGCUGACCGGAAUGUAUGGAGAAUUCCGGUGGGAAAACAAGCAUCUCACUUGGGAGCGGAUGCGUAAUUUGCACCAAAAUAAUAUGUUGCCGUAG